GGGCGGGCCACCACCAACACCCUUAACUCCUGUUCUUGGAUCGUGUGUGUCAUCGUUCUUGGACCUGAACAAGGGGAGGCCAGUCAUUGAGGGAAUAGAGGGGGAACAGCUUCUGAAACCAUACCACCUAAUAGAAGGAGUGACUUCAUAAAAGUGAUGGCAAAUUCUGGGUGCUUGUUGGAGCCACCAGAUGUCCUGUUGAACCCUGAUGAAGACCCAUCUACAAUUGAGGA